rnacentral:tRNA from 1 species
GGCUCGCUAGCUCAACUGAAAAGAGCAUCUGACUACGGAUCAGAAGGUUAAAGGUUUGAAUCCUUUAGGAGUCA